UACGGGGGGGGUAAGCGUUGUUCGGAAUUACUGGGCGUAAAGGGCUCGUAGGCGGCCAACUAAGUCAGACGUGAAAUCCCUCAGCUUAACUGGGGAACUGCGUCUGAUACUGGAUGGCUUGGAUUCGGGAGAGGAAUGCGGAAUUCCAGGUGUAGCGGUGAAAUGCGUAGAUAUCGGAAGGAACACCGGUGGCGAAAGCGGCGCGCUGGACCUCUUCUGACGCUGAGGCGCGAAAGCCAGGGGAGCAAACGGG
rnacentral:rRNA from 1 species